rnacentral:lncRNA from 1 species
UAUUUUGAUCAGUGAAGGUUUUCUUCCUCCUGCACUGCAGACUAAUGUCCUCUUAUCUUCUGUUUCUAUCUACAGCAGAUGCUGACAUUAAGAGCAAAGGGUGUUAUGCCUUUGUCUACUUUCCUCCCACACAUUCCCCUCCUCCCACUCCAGUUUUCAAGACCUACAAUCUAUUGCCCCGGUAGAAGAGCUUCAUCUGCCUCAUCACAGAUUUUAAGAUAAAGACUUUCAUGGCUGCUAUCACUAGAAAUACAUGAAAACCUCUCCAACACAAAAUAAUGGAGAUAAGAGAAAUACACUUCAGAAAAUUAUAAUCAUUUUUAUGUCAGAAACAGUUAUACUAA